UAAGCGGAGGAAAGGAAACUAACAAGGAUUCCCCUAGUAACUGCGAGUGAAGCGGGAAAAGCUCAAAUUUAAAAUCUGGCGGUCUUUGGCCGUNCGAGUUGUAAUUUAGAGAAGCGUCUUCCGCGCUGGACCGUGCACAAGUCUCCUGGAAUGGAGCGUCAUAGAGGGUGAGAAUCCCGUCUUUGGCACGGAUGCCUGGUGCUUCUGUGAUGCGCUCUCGAAGAGUCGAGUUGUUUGGGAAUGCAGCUCAAAAUGGGUGGUGAACUCCAUCUAAAGCUAAAUAUUGGCGAGAGACCGAUAGCGAACAAGUACCGUGAGGGAAAGAUGAAAAGCACUUUGGAAAGAGAGUGAAACAGUACGUGAAAUUGUUGAAAGGGAAACGCUUGAAGUCAGUCGCGUCGACCGAGACUCAGCCUUGCCUUGGCUUGGUGUACUUCUCGGCCCGACGGGUCAGCAUCAAUUUUGCCCCUCGGAUAAUGGCAAGGGAAAGGUGGCACCUUUACGGGUGUGUUAUAGUCUCCUGUCGAAUGCGAGGGGUGGGAUUGAGGAACUCAGCGCGCACCUCAGUGUCGGGGCUUCGGCCCACGUCACGCGCUUAGGAUGCUGGCGUAAUGGCUUUAAACGACC
rnacentral:rRNA from 1 species